UCUUAAAGAUUAAGCCACGCAAGUCUAAGUACGGCCCUUCCAUCGUGGGGGCGAGACUGCGGACGGCUCAUUAAAUCAGUUAUGAUUCCCAGGACACUGGGCUUAUUCUACUUGGAUAACUGUGGCAAUUCUAGAGCUAAUACAUGCAUCACAUAGCUCCGGUCGUCCUGCCGUCUCGGCGGCAGGCGAUGGAGUGCACUUGUUAGCACCGAAACCAACGUGUUUUAGGUGAACUCUGGACAACUUUGCCAAUCGCAGGGCCACUGUGCCGGCGAUAGUUCUUUCAAGUGUCUGACCUAUCAUACUAGAUGGUUUGCGCUCUGCGCACCAUGGUUACUACGGGUAACGGGGAAUCAGGGUUCGAUUCCGGAGAGGGAGCAUGAGAAACGGCUGCCACAUCCAAGGAAGGCAGCAGGCACGCAACUUACCCAAUGCCGACACGGCGAGGUAGUGACGAAAAAUACCAAUACGGGAGUCUCUACACGAGGUCCCGCAAUUGAAAUGAGUACACUCUAAAUCCUUUAACGAGGAUCUAUUGGAGGGCAAGUCUGGUGCCAGCAGCCGCGGUAAUUCCAGCUCCAAUAGCGUAUGUCAAAGUUGUUGCGGUUAAAAAGCUCGUAGUUGGAUCUCACGGCAGGGCCGGCAUUUCGCUGUUUUAGUGCAGUCGAAUGUAAAACGCCGUGUCCCUGUAGCAAACCACAACGGCAACAACACCGUGGGAGUGCUCUUGACUGAGUGUCUCCCUCCAGGUGAGCCCGAACGUUUACUGUGAAAAAAUUAGGGUGCUCAAAGCAGGCCUUCGUGCCCGAAUAUCGGUGCAUGGAAUAAUAGAGAAGGACCUCGGCUCCACUCCUCUUGAACGUUGGUUUCAUCGGAGCGCGAGGUAAUGAUUAAGAGGGACUGCCGGGGGCAUACGUACUGCGGCGCGAGAGGUGAAAUUCUGUGACCGUCGCAGGACGAACGAAAGCGAAAGCAUUUGCCAAGAAUGUUUUCCUUAAUCAAGAACGAAAGUCAGAGGUUCGAAGACGAUCAGAUACCGUCGUAGUUCUGACUGCAAACUAUGCCAACCGUCUCUCCGCCGGCGUUGCUUUUUUUGACCCGGCAAGGAGCCCACGAGAAAUCAGAGUCUUCGGGUUCCGGGGGGAGUACGGUUGCAAAGCUGAAACUUAAAGGAAUUGACGGAAGGGCACCACCAGGAGUGGAGCCUGUGGCUUAAUUUGACUCAACACGGGAAAUCUCACCCGGUCCGGACACUGGAAGGAUUGACAGACUAAAGCUCUUUCUUGAUUCAGUGGGUGGUGGUGCAUGGCCGUUCUUAGUUGGUGGAGUGAUUUGUCUGGUUAAUUCCGAUAACGAACGAGACUCUCGCCUGCUAAAUAGUUUUCCAGCACGCAAGUGCUGGAGGUCGACGAAACUUCUUAGAGGUACAAGUGGCGUUUAGCCACACGAAACAGAGCAAUAACAGGUCUGUGAUGCCCUUAGAUGUCCGGGGCCGCACAUGUGCUACAAUGGAUGCAACAGCGGGUAUGCCAACCUGGCCCGAAAGGGUUGGGGAAUCCCUAAACGGCAUUCUCAGUAGGGAUUGGGGAUUGCAAUUCUUUCCCAUGAACACGGAAUUCCCAGUAGGCGCCAGUCAUCAGCUGGCGUCGAUUGAGUCCCUGCCCUUUGUACACACCGCCCGUCGCUACUACCGAUCGCUCUUGUUAAUGAGCUUGUCGGAUCGGACCCGGUGGGCCCUCUCGGGGGCCCGCUUUGGCGUCUGCCGAGAAGAUCGGCGAAUUAUCUGGAGUAGAGGAAGUAAAAGUCGUAACAA
rnacentral:rRNA from 1 species